rnacentral:misc_RNA from 1 species
GGAAGUUCAGCGCGUGGCUGCGAAAUGCCACGCACAUUGUGCUGUCGAUCGCGGAAUUCCAUUCGGUGGCGGACGCGAUCGUGCGCGGGAACUACUUCGACGUACUCCACACGUUCGCUACCGCCGGCAAGCGGCGCGAGCCGAACGUACGAGAUCGUCGCCCGGACCAAGAACAACCCGGACUUGAUGUCCGUUGGCGAGGAGAACGAUAUCGAUGAGAUGCGCUGCUCGCCCGCGAUCGGGCAG